rnacentral:rRNA from 1 species
AUUGAACGCUGGCGGCAGGCCUAACACAUGCAAGUCGAACGGUAACAGGAAGAAGCUUGCUUCUUUGCUGACGAGUGGCGGACGGGUGAGUAAUGUCUGGGAAACUGCCUGAUGGAGGGGGAUAACUACUGGAAACGGUAGCUAAUACCGCAUAACGUCGCAAGACCAAAGAGGGGGACCUUCGGGCCUCUUGCCAUCGGAUGUGCCCAGAUGGGAUUAGCUAGUAGGUGGGGUAACGGCUCACCUAGGCGACGAUCCCUAGCUGGUCUGAGAGGAUGACCAGCCACACUGGAACUGAGACACGGUCCAGACUCCUACGGGAGGCAGCAGUGGGGAAUAUUGCACAAUGGGCGCAAGCCUGAUGCAGCCAUGCUGCGUGUAUGAAGAAGGCCUUCGGGUUGUAAAGUACUUUCAGCGGGGAGGAAGGGAGUAAAGUUAAUACCUUUGCUCAUUGACGUUACCCGCAGAAGAAGCACCGGUUAACUCCGUG